CGUUGAAACACAGGUUCCCGUAUGAUCACCGAAGUUAAGCAAUGUCGAGCCUGGUCAGUACCUAGGUGGGUGACCGCUUGGGAAUAUCAGGUGCUGUAAGC
rnacentral:rRNA from 1 species